UUGAUUUUAAAGUUAAAAAUCUUCAGGAAAAAUAGAAAUAACACAACAAUUUAUGAAACUCUGCCCUGAUUGGCAACACUUUUCACUGGCACGCAAUGUUGUGACAGUUAUGUUUUGUAUCUGCUGAUCUGUCAUUUGCGGAUUUCCACAAGCAUUCGGAGUGAAAUAAGUGAUAAAAUAAUUUGAACAAUAAUGAAAAAUGCCUUGCGUAAGGAAAAUUUGCAAAGCUGCACGAGAACGGGAAAGAAAAAAAAAUAAUCCGUGCCCUCGAGGAUCCUCUCGCGUGGACCUUCCAAGAUCCGUGGAGAAACCCACAGGAAUUUGCAAUCGAAGGUUCUGGCGCGGGCAAUGAAGAGGACGGCACGCCGAGCAGUGUGGCGACAACUCAGGGAAGCAGCCAGGAAACCUGUCCGAGCCCAAGACCCGCGUUCUGUCCACCUCAGCUCGUAACACCUGACAAGCCCAAGCCGGAUGGCCACCCGAACAAGUUCCCCCGGGAUGCGGCCAGCGAGGAGGUCGUUACGUCGAACAGCAGCACACGAUCUGCAAUCUUUCUACCACAGUUUUUGACACCCGACAAGCGCGUGCCGGAUGGCGACCCGGACAGGUCUUCCACACAAUCUGAAGCAGAUUUUGGCUACGGACUUGUCGCUGUUGAAAGAAUGGAAGAAAGAACGACCAAUAACGAAAUGGACAAACCAAAGAUUAGAGCGUUUUAUACGGUAAUUGAUCGCUUUACUUAUAAACAAAUAAACAAAAAAACGUGCAAAUACGUUUUAUGACUUUUACCAUUUUGUUUCAGCUCUCCAAAGACUCGCAAACAUCUCUAAAACCAGCAUCGAUCUCAAUAUGAUGAUGCAAAAGGGCGCAUACUUUCUAAGUUUGUACCCGAAAUUGUUGGUGCCCAAUCGAAGACCUUGGCCAAAAAAGCUGAAGCGAUGCUACAAAAUAUGCACAACCACAAGCUUUUAAAAGCUAACAAACGGGUGGUAGGGCGAAUUCUUCGACUGGUAGAACAGGACCUUAACUUGAAGUUGAGAGGCACUAGAUUCUUUGUUGAUAAAUGCCAUACUUAUUUGUGCUGCUCACCGGAUGCCAUUUCCGAUGAUGAUCAAACGAUUCUUAUCUUCGAAAGCUCCCGGAAACCAAAUUUGACCCGAUUUCACCGAACAAAAAAAUCGGAAGUUGAAGCGCAAACAUCAUUGCACGCAUGCAGUGCUUCCAAAAGCAUUAUUUACUACAUCAACGGUACUCGGAACACUCCAAUUGGUUAUCACAUCGUCAACCAUGACAACGAGUUCUUUUCAGAUCAGAUUAAAAGCAAACUUGAGUCAUUUUUUGAAGAACACAUCAUUCAACACGUAUUUUCACAAAACAUGGAAAUAAAGAAG